rnacentral:rRNA from 1 species
UACGGAGGGAGCUAGCGUUGUUCGGAAUUACUGGGCGUAAAGAGCGCGCAGGCGGUCGAUCAAGUCGCGUGUGAAAGCCCCCGGCUCAACUGGGGAGGGUCACGCGAUACUGAUCGACUCGAAGGCAGGAGAGGGAAGCGGAAUUCCGGGUGUAGCGGUGAAAUGCGUAGAUAUCCGGAGGAACGCCGGUGGCGAAGGCGGCUUCCUGGACCGACACUGACGCUGAGGCGCGAAAGCUAGGGGAGCAAACGGG